CCUGUUCUCGAUGACCAUCUGUUCUACUUUCUUCCUUUUCUUCCUGUACAGACUGAUGUCACCAACUUGUCUUAGUCGCGGGGGAUGCUGGAGCCUAUCUCAGCUGCAUUUGGGCGGAAGGCGGGGUACACCCUGGACAAGUCGCCAACUCAUCGCAGGGCCAACAGAGAUAGACAGACAACAUUCACACACUAGGGCCAAUUUAGUGUUGCCAAUCAACCUAUCCCCAGGUGCAUGUCUUUGGAGGUGGAAGGAAGCCGGAGUACCCGGAGGGAACCCACGCAGUCACGGGGAGAACAUGCAAACUCCACACAGAAAGAUGACACAACUAUGACACAAUAGUCUAAAAUCUACCAAACAUAAAGACCUGAAUUAAAUUAACACCAGUAUGAAAAAAUACACCCCCCUUCCCCCUUAAUAAAGGAAAUGCAAAAAUGAUAAAAGUGCAAAUUAGUAUCUCAAGUUUCACAGGAAUGUACAGCAAACUACCCUGUUCAAACACAGAAACAACAGUAUAUUAUUCACCCAGAAUGCUUAAUUGGUAAUAACUAAACUAAAACCGGCAUUCAAAUACCCUACGUUGCAGGCCUGUAUCGAUGCUUGUGUGCGGUGAGACCAAAAACUUAUCGGUCGCUUCACUCUUU